ACCUUUCCUUUUUCCUCUUAAUUGUGGUGCGAUGUCUGGCUGACUACGUUUGUGCUACAUCACGUCUUUGUUCUGUGUUUCGAAAGAAACAAACCUCCGUAAUCCUAAAACUGACUUUGGUACAUCUGCAAACAGAAUCUAUGUUCAAUAGCUGUGCCUCAAAUGCUCCAUUGCUGAUUGAUUGAAUCCUGUGCAGAACUUGAGAGAUUGCGACCAUUGGGAUAUUUCACCUUUCUGUGGACAUUCGAAAGAAGGAAAGGCUGACUGGCUGUCAUAGUUUCAUUGCGUGCGGCGCCUCGUUUAUCAUUACUUUUUUUUACCUUGUCGUGGGUGUGUAGGUUUUUCCUGCUCCCAAUGCUCCUGCACUCUGUGCGUGCUGAAUGCGGAUCUGGUAACCCGUUUCGAGCCUGCCUCCAAGCCUCACCUGCCUUGCUUUGAUUCGCCGUUCUUUGUGACGACUGAAGGACACAAUUUACCAUGUGGCGCUGAGGCUCGAGGACCUGAAUGCUGCACCGGAAACAGAAACAUUACCCGAGAUGGUUUAUACGUUUAAGCGGCCAUGCUUGAUUUCAUGAAUGGGCUUUGUGCUAGACUCAGCAAAGCGAGAGAGGGAGAGCAAGAGACUUCUCUCUGGAGAUGGCAUCAAUUAUGUUCAGGAACAACAAAGCUUUCCACCGACAUCCUGCUCCUACUGCAGCUAGAAGACACCACAGUACCUAUGUUCUUUCUUGGUGAAAGCCAAUUGUGGUACUCAUGACUUGGGUGGUUCAAGGUGGCAGUUGUGCAUAUGAUUGGCAAGCACACGGUGUUGGAGUGACCCGUCACGUACGCAGGUGCAGAAUCACAUCGCCUGGAAUGCGAGGUCUCAUAACUAGAAUCUUCUGGCUACGACUUCUUGAGAAUGUGAGUACGUGUGCUUUCAGAUACUUUCUACUGGUGCCAUCUUUCGGGAAUAUAUAUCUUGUCAUUUUACCGCAGUGAAUGUGAUGCACACGCUACAGAAUUAUUACAGGUCUUGUUUUGAUAGCAUGGUUGUGUCGAGUCUACUUGGUUGUGAGUAAUAUUUAUAUUAUUAUCAAUAUUAAUCAUAAUACCUGUGACCCAUGAUUUAAAUCCUCAUUAGUUGAAAUUUCAAAGUUUUGCAAAAUUGUAGGUUGUGUGUAAUAGUUUUUACAGUAAAUGUGACGUUUAUUUUACUGUGAACAAGACAGAGCUCCUGCUACUCAUCCCAGGGCCAUUUAACCAUCAGAUUCUUUUUCUAAUGUUAGAUUGUUUUCUUGUUA